AAAUUUUAAAAAAGUCCUUUUAGGAAAAACAAGAGAUGAUAAAACCAACUUGUUGUGAACAGCCAUGUUACCGGAUCGCUCUGCCGCCACCAAAACUCAAACACAAGCUUUUAUUUAGUGAAAGCCUCCACUUUGCCCCGGCGGCCAACGUUUUGUCACGUCAGUGAAUUAAAGUUGUAAACUGACGGCAGCUUCUCCUUCCAUUCAGAAACAACCGGCUGCAGGAGAUCCAGUCAAUCCCUUUAGAUGCGGCGACGCGACGCUGCUUUUUGUAAUUACAGGCGCCUUUCAACGGCAGCGUGACUUUCUUUAUCCUGCUGAAUGAGAAAUUCCCCAUCUGGCUGCUUUCCGAACCAAACGAGUCGCCCACCUGUUGCCACCGACCGAGUCCAUGAAUCAAACCCAGAACUUUGUGGUUUCAGCAACGUUUCGACCCCAUUUCCACUCUGAUGCCUGGCAGGCAGAGAUCCAGAAAGCAUCUUUGGUUCUGCAUGACGCCAUUUUCUGCAUCUGAACGUUUUCUGCUGUUGGGUCAACAGUCUGACCGCCGCCAGCAGGAAGCGUCACUUCACCCUCUGAUGGAUGAAAGUACUAUAACUGGACAGAUGUUGCCUUCCAGCUCCGGUUCAUCGUCUCAGUUUGACCAAUAAAAUCAGUUGUGUUGAGCAAUAAAUCAAAUGAUCACAUGAUAAAUUAGAACGUGGUACAACAUUCCUAUUGGAUGAUUGUUUCGUGUCUCUUAUGCUUCCAAAGACUGAGCAACAAAAGGCUUUAAUCUGCUCUGUUGGUCUCAACUAGCAACUUAUUGACAGGCAACUUCGUUUACAGAGAUGUCAAUGUUCAAAAAAUUUGUUGUUUUGUUGAUUUAUAUUAGGAUAUUUCCGGUUCCAAAGUUGAAUAUUCAUUAAAAAUUCUAAUUUAUUGACCUUCGAGAUGCCGUACCUCAAAUGGUCUCAAAACAUCGGUACUAUUGUUUCUCGCAAUAACUUCUGGGACAGUUUAUCGAAGUUAACAAGUUUCUGGAUGGCUGGUUUUAAAUCUGGUCGACAUGAAAGAUGAGUGAUUGUUGGAUCUGAUUUGAUCUGCAGAGGAUCUGCAGGUUUCAGCAAGUAAAAUUUAAGACUUUUAAAAACCUUUUAAUGGCAUCUUGAGUGAAAUUUAAGACCAAAAACCUUAUAAAUAUAAAGAAUGGCUCGAGAAUCUUCCUGCUCUACAAUGAAGAAUAACAAAAACAAUUUUUCCUCUGAUGCUAACUGAGGCUAACUGCUUUAGCACAACUUUAACACAACUCUAUCAGAUCGGUAUAUGAAGCACAAAUUAACUCCUCGUGCGCCGAGAGAAGCUGCUUCAACGCUGUUGUUACAGCAUGUGCGUCAGAUUUACUGGCGUACCAGAAACGCAAUACAAAAGUUCCAGCUCAGGAUUUUUGUAUG